rnacentral:tRNA from 1 species
GGUUCUAUUGUGUAAUGGUUAGCACUCUACACUUUGAAUCCAGCGAUCCGAGUUCAAAUCUUGGUAGGACCU